AAUGAUGAUAUCACUGAGACCUGCCAUGGCCUACCUGCUGAACAGCUUUCCUUACAUUGACCAUAUUUGAGGGUGUCCUUUCCUGGAACCACUAGAAGCAGGGAAGUCCAGAUGCUUCUGACAGGCUCCGAGCUCCGAGCUCCUGAUCCCAUGUGUGGAAGGCUCAGAUCAAUUCUAUCUCUUCAAGACAGGAGGGUAGCAUUAUUGUCCUCUGCAAGACUCAACGGAGCAGCCGACUAACACACGUGCACAGACAUACGGCCAAAUAUUGAAUGGAGCUCAGUGAGUCUCAAUGAAGGGCUGAGGGAAGGGCAGACAGAGACAGAGGAGCACAAUGAUCUUCAGGUGGGGUCACUAAACCCGUCGCUUGUCUGUGGAUCCUGUUCUCCUACCCGGGCUGCGUUUUCAGGACCUGGUGGGAGACGAUGAAUCUAGUUGAGUAGAGACUUGAUGUGCCAGGGGAGAGGGUAAACCCAGAGGGGUCCUCCACUCUCUCAGAUAAGAAUGGGAGAGGAUUGAAUGAGGGAGUGUAAAUGGUAGGAGCCUGGAGGAGUGUGGUUCCAGGGCAGCAUUCAGAAUGCUACCUGGUGAAUAGAUGCAACCAUACAGCCCCUGUGGGUUGAUGUCAGAAUUUGGAGUCCACUUCUCACCUCAAUAGUGACUGUGAGGCGGGUUACCCAUGACAGAGGGGCAUGCUGGAGGUAUCUUCCACCAUUUUCUAUUUAUGGACACAAUCAUAGCACUGUAAAAUACCACCCAUGUCUCUGAAACUCUGUUGGUCAGAAACCCAGACACAGCUUAAUCUGGGUCCUUGCUAGGCUACAGUCAAGGUCUUGGCUGCCAAGUCUUUCCCUUCAAAUGUCCUGGUGGGGAAGGUCUGCCUGUAUAUUCCCUCGGGCCCUGGGGGAAAUUACUUCCUUGUAGUGGCAGAGCUAUCCCAUUGCCACAAGAGCCACCUAUUGAUCCCCUCAACAUGGAUACUGGAUUCUGCAAGCCCUCGGGAGAGCAAGGGUGGCAAGACAGACUUGUGUGACAUGAUAUAUCCAUAGUCAGGACCUCCCAUCACCUUCCCCAUAUGACAUGACAUGAAAUUAGCAUCCCAUUACCCUUGCUGUGUCAGAAGCAAGCCACUGACAUUGCCUACUUGUCUGGGGAAAGGAAUGCCGAACUGUUUGGAUACCAGAAGAUGGAAACCAUAGAGCCAUGUCAACUAGUACAAUGGUCUCAUUGGGAUCCCACCAACAGUGUAGAUACCUGGCCCCACCAGCUUCCAGGUAUGUGAGACAGCAUCUCUCCAGUUGCUUUUUGUAUGGGAACAUGUGCGUCUUUUUCCACUCAGGGCCCUGCACCAAUGACGCUCCUGCUCAGAAGAGAACUCGUACUUUUACCUCCUCGCCAUUUUUACUCCCUAAUUUCAAUCCGCAGUGCAGUUCUGGCAGUGAGAGUUGGAACUCAGCCUCCUUUCCUUCCCUAUCCUCCCCAGCAACCUGGAAACUUGGAGCAGAGCUCAGAGCAUCCGACCACUGCAUACAGCUCAUGAUGUGGCCCAACACCUCCUUGUGCUUCCUCUAGUACAAGUUUCACUUCAGUGCUUUUUCUAAUCAAAUAAUAGGUUGGUAUCACAGGAUAUAGGCUUGAUGGUGAACCCUCCCAGGACACCCAUGUGGCUGGGUAUAGCAGUGGCUACCCCCAGCCACCCUAGGGCACAUGAAGCACAGAGUAAGCAAGUCCCCUUAAUGAUUCUCAUGAUAUCCAGAGCUUUUUUUCAAAUUUUGGACCCAGUUUUGAAAUAUUGCUGAGGGCAGCUGAUAGGGCCAGGAAAGGUUAAUGGCUCUGCAGAAAGCAGAAUGUGUAAACGGGCUGGUAAUCGUCAUGGCAUUUCAUGUCAAACUCCCGGCUGGAGCUCAGAAUUAGGACCCUGGCUGAGUCAAGGGGAACUCAGCUCCCUGGCUGCCCUGCCCACAGGGGGCAGAUACAAAUAUGUGUUCUGGGUAGCAAGAGGGUGUGGGAAACAGUUGGAGGAUCCCAGAUAGAAAAACUGACACUCCAGUAAACGGACUGCCAAUGUAGCCUUUGCCAAGUAGCCUGGGAAGGAAUGACUGCCUUAUUCAGAGUCUAUGGCAUUGUCCCUGUGCCGUGAGCCUCAGGAAGAGAGGAAGCUAGGCUCAGACCUGACCCAGUCAAUGGUGGUCAUUCUUAGACAUCCUCCUUUCCACCUACAUAGAAACAGAGAAUUCUGAGCUCUGCUGCAUGUGGUAUAAAAUUGUCACUUCCUAUGAAGAACCUGUCUCUCCUGCGUGACCAACUAUAAGUGAUUAGCUAAAGAGAGACCCCAGGUCGCCCUUUGAGAUGGUUCAUUUUAUUCUUCGAUGUGAUACAACCUACAGCUACUUGGCUAGUUUUAGGUUCAUUUGACACAAACCAGAGUCAUUUGAGAAGAGGGAGUGUCAACUGAACAAAAUGUCCACACCAGAUUGGCCUGAGGAACAUUUUCUUAAUUACUGAUUGAUGUGGCGGG